rnacentral:piRNA from 1 species
UAAUGCGAUUCUAGAGGGAAAGGGC